UUAAGCGACUAAGCGUACACGGUGGAUGCCCUGGCAGUCAGAGGCGAUGAAGGACGUGCUAAUCUGCGAUAAGCGUCGGUAAGGUGAUAUGAACCGUUAUAACCGGCGAUUUCCGAAUGGGGAAACCCAGUGUGUUUCGACACACUAUCAUUAACUGAAUCCAUAGGUUAAUGAGGCGAACCGGGGGAACUGAAACAUCUAAGUACCCCGAGGAAAAGAAAUCAACCGAGAUUCCCCCAGUAGCGGCGAGCGAACGGGGAGGAGCCCAGAGCCUGAAUCAGUGUGUGUGUUAGUGGAAGCGUCUGGAAAGGCGCGCGAUACAGGGUGACAGCCCCGUACACAAAAAUGCACAUGCUGUGAGCUCGAUGAGUAGGGCGGGACACGUGGUAUCCUGUCUGAAUAUGGGGGGACCAUCCUCCAAGGCUAAAUACUCCUGACUGACCGAUAGUGAACCAGUACCGUGAGGGAAAGGCGAAAAGAACCCCGGCGAGGGGAGUGAAAAAGAACCUGAAACCGUGUACGUACAAGCAGUGGGAGCACGCUUAGGCGUGUGACUGCGUACCUUUUGUAUAAUGGGUCAGCGACUUAUAUUCUGUAGCAAGGUUAACCGAAUAGGGGAGCCGAAGGGAAACCGAGUCUUAACUGGGCGUUAAGUUGCAGGGUAUAGACCCGAAACCCGGUGAUCUAGCCAUGGGCAGGUUGAAGGUUGGGUAACACUAACUGGAGGACCGAACCGACUAAUGUUGAAAAAUUAGCGGAUGACUUGUGGCUGGGGGUGAAAGGCCAAUCAAACCGGGAGAUAGCUGGUUCUCCCCGAAAGCUAUUUAGGUAGCGCCUCGUGAAUUCAUCUCCGGGGGUAGAGCACUGUUUCGGCAAGGGGGUCAUCCCGACUUACCAACCCGAUGCAAACUGCGAAUACCGGAGAAUGUUAUCACGGGAGACACACGGCGGGUGCUAACGUCCGUCGUGAAGAGGGAAACAACCCAGACCGCCAGCUAAGGUCCCAAAGUCAUGGUUAAGUGGGAAACGAUGUGGGAAGGCCCAGACAGCCAGGAUGUUGGCUUAGAAGCAGCCAUCAUUUAAAGAAAGCGUAAUAGCUCACUGGUCGAGUCGGCCUGCGCGGAAGAUGUAACGGGGCUAAACCAUGCACCGAAGCUGCGGCAGCGACGCUGAUGCGUUGUUGGGUAGGGGAGCGUUCUGUAAGCCUGUGAAGGUGUGCUGUGAGGCAUGCUGGAGGUAUCAGAAGUGCGAAUGCUGACAUAAGUAACGAUAAAGCGGGUGAAAAGCCCGCUCGCCGGAAGACCAAGGGUUCCUGUCCAACGUUAAUCGGGGCAGGGUGAGUCGACCCCUAAGGCGAGGCCGAAAGGCGUAGUCGAUGGGAAACAGGUUAAUAUUCCUGUACUUGGUGUUACUGCGAAGGGGGGACGGAGAAGGCUAUGUUGGCCGGGCGACGGUUGUCCCGGUUUAAGCGUGUAGGCUGGUUUUCCAGGCAAAUCCGGAAAACUAAGGCUGAGGCGUGAUGACGAGGCACUACGGUGCUGAAGCAACAAAUGCCCUGCUUCCAGGAAAAGCCUCUAAGCAUCAGGUAACAUCAAAUCGUACCCCAAACCGACACAGGUGGUCAGGUAGAGAAUACCAAGGCGCUUGAGAGAACUCGGGUGAAGGAACUAGGCAAAAUGGUGCCGUAACUUCGGGAGAAGGCACGCUGAUAUGUAGGUGAAGUCCCUCGCGGAUGGAGCUGAAAUCAGUCGAAGAUACCAGCUGGCUGCAACUGUUUAUUAAAAACACAGCACUGUGCAAACACGAAAGUGGACGUAUACGGUGUGACGCCUGCCCGGUGCCGGAAGGUUAAUUGAUGGGGUCAGCGCAAGCGAAGCUCUUGAUCGAAGCCCCGGUAAACGGCGGCCGUAACUAUAACGGUCCUAAGGUAGCGAAAUUCCUUGUCGGGUAAGUUCCGACCUGCACGAAUGGCGUAAUGAUGGCCAGGCUGUCUCCACCCGAGACUCAGUGAAAUUGAACUCGCUGUGAAGAUGCAGUGUACCCGCGGCAAGACGGAAAGACCCCGUGAACCUUUACUAUAGCUUGACACUGAACAUUGAGCCUUGAUGUGUAGGAUAGGUGGGAGGCUUUGAAGUGUGGACGCCAGUCUGCAUGGAGCCGACCUUGAAAUACCACCCUUUAAUGUUUGAUGUUCUAACGUUGACCCGUAAUCCGGGUUGCGGACAGUGUCUGGUGGGUAGUUUGACUGGGGCGGUCUCCUCCUAAAGAGUAACGGAGGAGCACGAAGGUUGGCUAAUCCUGGUCGGACAUCAGGAGGUUAGUGCAAUGGCAUAAGCCAGCUUGACUGCAAGCGUGACGGCGCGAGCAGGUGCGAAAGCAGGUCAUAGUGAUCCGGUGGUUCUGAAUGGAAGGGCCAUCGCUCAACGGAUAAAAGGUACUCCGGGGAUAACAGGCUGAUACCGCCCAAGAGUUCAUAUCGACGGCGGUGUUUGGCACCUCGAUGUCGGCUCAUCACAUCCUGGGGCUGAAGUAGGUCCCAAGGGUAUGGCUGUUCGCCAUUUAAAGUGGUACGCGAGCUGGGUUUAGAACGUCGUGAGACAGUUCGGUCCCUAUCUGCCGUGGGCGCUGGAGAACUGAGGGGGGCUGCUCCUAGUACGAGAGGACCGGAGUGGACGCAUCACUGGUGUUCGGGUUGUCAUGCCAAUGGCACUGCCCGGUAGCUAAAUGCGGAAGAGAUAAGUGCUGAAAGCAUCUAAGCACGAAACUUGCCCCGAGAUGAGUUCUCCCUGACUCCUUGAGAGUCCUGAAGGAACGUUGAAGACGACGACGUUGAUAGGCCGGAUGUGUAAGCGCAGCGAUGCGUUGAGCUAACCGGUACUAAUGAACCGUGAGGCUUAACCUU
rnacentral:rRNA from 1 species